UCGCAAAUGGCUGAUCACAAGAGUGCCAUGGUAACCAAUUGGCAUAUAUUCUAAUUAAGCUUGAGGUAAAAGGCCUACUGACUUGUGGGACAAGGGCACCCCAACAUUAGUAGGGUGAGGAAAUACAAAUAAGGACAAGGAAAGGAAUCCCUACUGAAUAUGUGUUAGGCAUAGCGGUGUCAGCGUAACACAUUAUAAAAGUUGUCUCCCAGCCUGUGCGCUUAGGAAGGGAGAGAUGUAGCUCUUGGGCCCUGCCAGGAUGAUGAGCACUGGAAAUGGUGAUGAGGAGGGAGAUGAUGGUGAGGCAGAUAAUGACUAACAUUUCAGGUCGUUCUGCAAUGGAUGGUGUUCAUUGAGUCCAAAGAGCGUGGCAAGCUUCCCACCGAGGAAUUCGCAAGCUGAAAAGACAGGGAGGAGAAAGAAUAACAGCAAUUCUAUCCCUUACAUAAGACCUCUGCCUCAUUCAAGACACAGGACAGACUGUGAAUGGAUCGUGAUUGUGCGGUAAAGGAGAUUGUUGUCUGCAGGAUCCCUUCCUCAUUUGUUGCACAAUUUGGAAAGUGUGCAGUGAAUGAGGCAGGGAUUGCAGGAACAGAAAGGAUGGUGUCAUGAUUAAGAUAGUUGAAUGCUGUCCCGGAGAAAAGGAUUCGAUCCCAGCCUCUGCUGCAAAGUUCCUAUG